rnacentral:rRNA from 1 species
ACGCUCGACACCUACGGGAGGCAGCAGUGGGGAAUAUUGCACAAUGGGGGAAACCCUGAUGCAGCGACGCCGCGUGGAGGAAGAAGGUCUUCGGAUUGUAAACUCCUGUUGUUGGGGAAAAAGAGGAUGGUACCCAACAAGGAAGUGACGGCUAACUACGUGCCAGCAGCAGGACGGUAAUCUGGAGGCCGGGCGUGGACGAAGGC